rnacentral:rRNA from 1 species
GAUGAACGCUGGCGGCGUGCCUAAUACAUGCAAGUCGAGCGAACAGACGAGGAGCUUGCUCCUCUGACGUUAGCGGCGGACGGGUGAGUAACACGUGGAUAACCUACCUAUAAGACUGGGAUAACUUCGGGAAACCGGAGCUAAUACCGGAUAAUAUAUUGAACCGCAUGGUUCAAUAGUGAAAGACGGUUUUGCUGUCACUUAUAGAUGGAUCCGCGCCGCAUUAGCUAGUUGGUAAGGUAACGGCUUACCAAGGCAACGAUGCGUAGCCGACCUGAGAGGGUGAUCGGCCACACUGGAACUGAGACACGGUCCAGACUCCUACGGGAGGCAGCAGUAGGGAAACUUCCGCAAUGGGCGAAAGCCUGACGGAGCAACGCCGCGUGAGUGAUGAAGGUCUUCGGAUCGUAAAACUCUGUUAUUAGGGAAGAACAAAUGUGUAAGUAACUAUGCACGUCUUGACGGUACCUAAUCAGAAAGCCACGGCUAACUACGUG